GCAGCUCCUCUUUUUAUUAGGAGACAUUAAACACAACAAAACAACAACUGAACAGCUGUGCAUCUCAGUAACCAAGAUUAUUGCUUUGUGUUCUUGGGGCUAAUAGGUUAAUCACCUCACACAGACAAUGAACUCUCCAAAGGGGUCUAAGGUGGGCACA